rfam:Halobacterium sp. NRC-1, complete genome.
GUAGGGAACGCACGGCCGUAGAUCCGACACGCCCGCCGGUUGGUGGGCUUGGGACUGCGGUAGUGU